rnacentral:rRNA from 1 species
UACGUAGGGUGCAAGCGUUAUCCGGAAUCACUGGGUUUAAAGGGUGCGUAGGCGGGAAGAUAAGUCAGAGGUGAAAGCUCGUCGCUUAACGACGGAAUUGCCUUUGAUACUGUUUUUCUUGAAAUAUGUUGAGGUUGGCGGAAUGAGACAUGUAGCGGUGAAAUGCUUAGAUAUGUCUUAGAACACCGAUUGCGAAGGCAGCUGACUGGACAUUAUUUGACGCUGAGGCACGAAAGCGUGGGGAUCAAACAGG